GCCAGACUCCUACGGGAGGCAGCAGUGAGGAAUAUUGGUCAAUGGGAGGAAUCCUGAACCAGCCAUGCCGCGUGCAGGACGACGGCUCUACGAGUUGUAAACUGCUUUUGUACCGGGGUAAAAUGCCUUACGAGUAGGGUUUUGAAAGUACGGUACGAAUAAGGAUCGGCUAACCCCGUGCCAGCAGCCGCGGUAAUACGGAGGAUGCGAGCGUUAUCCGGAUUUAUUGGGUUUAAAGGGUGCGUAGGCGGACUGGAAAGUCAGCGGUAAAAUCGGGGGGCUCAACCUCUUUCCGCCGUUGAAACUGUCGGUCUUGGGUGGGCGAGAAGUAUGCGGAAUGCGUGGUGUAGCGGUGAAAUGCAUAGAUAUCACGCAGAACUCCGAUUGCGAGGGCAGCAUACCGGCGCCCAACUGACGCUGAGGCACGAAAGCGUGGGUAUCGAACAGGAUUAGAUACCCCUGUAC
rnacentral:rRNA from 1 species